rnacentral:rRNA from 1 species
GAUGAACGCUGGCGGCGUGCUUAACACAUGCAAGUCGAACGAUGAAGCCCAGCUUGCUGGGUGGAUUAGUGGCGAACGGGUGAGUAACACGUGAGUAACCUGCCCUUGACUCUGGGAUAAGCGCUGGAAACGGCGUCUAAUACCGGAUACGAGCUUCCACCGCAUGGUGAGUUGCUGGAAAGAAUUUCGGUCAAGGAUGGACUCGCGGCCUAUCAGGUAGUUGGUGAGGUAACGGCUCACCAAGCCGACGACGGGUAGCCGGCCUGAGAGGGUGACCGGCCACACUGGGACUGCGACACGGCCCAGACUCCUACGGGAGGCAGCAGUGGGGAAUAUUGCACAAUGGGCGCAAGCCUGAUGCAGCAACGCCGCGUGGGGGACGAAGGCCUUCGGGUCGUAAACCUCUUUUAGCAGGGAAGAAGCGAAAGUGACGGUACCUGCAGAAAAAGCACCGGCUAACUACGU